GUCCUCUUGGCAAAUCCGGAGGGCUGCCUUCAAUGGCGCGUCUCAAUCGAUGGAAAAAUUUCGCCCUCGGGCGAGAAAUUCCAAAGAGCAUCCUUCCCAGAAAAACCUCUCGAGCCAAUGCAGUCGAGUCCGUACCGCAAAACCGACACAGGUCGGCCGGUGUAAGAGCACCAAGGCGAACGGGUGAGUCCUCCCCAAGGAACUCGGCAAAAAAGCGGCCGUAAGUUCGCAAUAAGGCCUGCCCUCGCGCAAGCGGGGGCCGCAGCUAAAGAUUGCUUACCGACUGUUUAUCAAAAACACAGGUCCCUGCAGAACCCGUAAGGGGACGUAUAGGGGCUGACGCCUGACCAGUGCCCGAAUGUUAAGCCUGCGAGUCGUGCUGCACUUGUGUGGUACGGCCCUGUGGGUGAAGCACGGGUGAACGUCCGCGGUAACUAUAACCGUGUUAAAGUAGCGCAAUCUCUUGCCAGGUAAACAUUUGCCUGUUCUCUCUGGCGACAGAGAGAAAAGAAACUGACUUAUAACGGUGGAAUCGUAAGUCAUUUUGUGGUAUAAUAACCAUAAUACGGCUCGACAAUACCGUGGGAACUCGCUCAUUGCGAGACCCGUAACGACUCAGCCCCUCUAGGGCGGAUGAUUGUGUGAAACCGAUCAUCAUACGUCAGUCUCUUUGUUGUAGCUAAACUAUGCGUAGUAUUGCAGAGUAUAUAUCAGGAUUCGUUGAUGGAGAGGGAUCAUUUAUGAUCUGUUUCUCUCCUCGUAGUAAGAUGCUUGUUGGGUGGGAAGUUCGGCCAAGUUUUUCUGUAAGCCAAAAUAGAGAUAAGGCCGAAGUGCUUUAUCUGAUGAAAGAAUAUUUUGGUUGCGGAACAAUAAGGUCAAACGGAAAAGACCGAACGCUAAAAUAUGAAGUGAGGAGUUUGAACGACAUUCUUCAGAAAAUUAUUCCGCACUUCAAGAAGUAUCCGCUCUUGUCAGCGAGGCGCAAGGAAUUCGAUAUUUUCGUGAGCGUUUGUCAAAAGAUGAAAGACAGCGAACAUCUGACCGAAAGCGGACUCAAAGCGAUUACUGAAUUGGUAAGUAAGAUGCAAUUCUCGCAUAGCAGAAAAUAUAGUUUAAGCGAUUUCAGCUCAGCAAAGAUGAAGAUAUAGUCUGUGCCUUAAGAAAUUAAGGAAUAACAUGAAGUUCUGGCCCGCAUGAAAGGCGUAACGAGUGAGCAACUGUCUCGGGGAGGAGCCCGGUGAAAAUGCAGUGCCGGUGAAGAUGCCGGGUACCUGCAACAAGACAAGAAGACCCCGGGAGCUUCACUGUAAGCUCUUAUUGGAAUUACGUUUUGAACUGCGUAGCAUAGCGGGGAGGCUUUGAAGUCAGUCUUCCGGGACGGAUGGAGCCGCCAGUGAAAUACCCGUCUUUCAACAUGUAAUUUCUAACCCCCGCGUAAGCGGAGGGACAGUAGGAGCCGGGCAGUUUAAGUGGGGCGCUUUUCUCCUAAAAGGUAACGGAGAAGUUCAUCAAGGUCGGCUUAGCGCGGAUGGAAAUCGCGCUGGACCCGUAAAGGGACAUGCCGGCUUGACUCCAAGGCGGACAUGCCGCGGAGGUGCGAAAGCAAGACUUAGUGAACCGACCAUACUUCGUAGGAAGGUGGGAGAUCAACGGAUAAAAGCUACCCCGGGGAUGAGCCCUGAAAAAAGGGCCGUUGUCCCCUCUACCAGUAAUGGUAGAAUAAAAACGUGGCUAA
rnacentral:rRNA from 1 species